CAACUGGCAUUGUGCUGCUAUAUGCUUCUACUUUAAUUUUUUUAGCAUGCUCUAUUUUUGAAUGACCACUUCUCUGUAGUAAGAAGUAUAAUUUUCUGCGACUUUUAUUUAGCCUUCUUUUCAGAUAAUAAUAACCCUACCCCUAUAUGAGACUUUGCUUAAAGUUAUAUAGGAUGAAUCCAGAAGUUCCUUCUCUGAUUGCUUUUAUAUCUGCAGGCUGAUCAAUGGAAACUCAACUAGUGAACAUGAUCUUGUCAUGAAGAAUGAUCUUGAACACCUGUUGCAUCUUUUACAUGGAAAGGGAUGGGAUAGGCCUUGGCAAUAUCUCAUGGACCACUCUACCUCAAACAGGGCGUAUCAAGCCUGGCACCAUGAGCUUGAGGUACACUUGAACUUAACAUUGUUAUCUGCUUUCACUUGCAACGGUUUAAGGGUUGUAUGUGGUCACUUUUUGCGUCCAAUUGGGAAGUGUCAGAAGACUUUGAGUUUGUCUCAAAAAUAAGUUAUGUAACUGUAUUUUAUGUAGGUACAAUGUUAAAAAAGUGUUGACAAGCGGAAGGGCGGAGGGAGUAUUAUUAAGUGUGUUAGUCUAUAGAUGAUAGACUGAUCUUUAUUUAAUGUUUCAGCUAGUGGUGCAUCGUGCUGAGUUGGAACGAAUGAACUACGAGAAUCAGAGACUGGGGGACAUGGUGGAUGAGGUGACCACCAAAUACCAAUUACAACAAUCUUCGGAUGCAUUUAGUCGCAUUUAUGCAGCAGCAGCAACAGAAAGUGGAUAAUAAUGAAGUAGAAGCAGAUGUUGUGAUAAUAAUAAUAAGGGUGAGCAAUUUGUUAGACAAAAUAGCAUGCGAAAUACAGUGCCUACACGGAUCAUUGAUCUCGGUCACAAUUUUCGGUGAAAGAAAAGCUAUAAUUUCUUAUAUUCCAACAAAAAUUACAGAAUAAAAAGAUUCAAAAAAUUAUAGAUCAUAGACAUCUUUUAAAAUGUCUUAAAUUCUAUUUUUUUCUUACUCGCGCGGAGCGCGUUUUUUUCACUAGUUCAAUAAUAUAGUAGGAUAAAAGUGAAUUUGUGCGACUUA
rnacentral:lncRNA from 1 species